ensembl:lncRNA
AUGGCACCAAAUGUUCUUACUCUGGUCUUGUUUGUUUUUUCCAAGCAUGUCCAGAAGGUCACUUCCUAUGCUCCACAGGUCUGUGCGUGGAGAAGUUCAGGCGCUGUGAUGGACUGGAUGACUGUCAGGAUGAAAGCGAUGAGAUUUGUUGUUCUAAACCCCCUAAAAUCUGUGGAGGUUCAUCCCCUUUUGCACCCAUUAUAUAUCUGUAAUGGAGAAAUGGAUUGUUCCACUGGAAAAGAUGAGACCAACUGUACUCAAGAGACUAGCUGUUCUGGAGUCAGUUACCAAUGUGGUAAUGGAGCAUGCAUUCUUAAGAAAAAUGCAAAGUGUGACGGCUUACCUGACUGCUUUGAUCACAGUGACGAGAAGGACUGUGGUGAGUUUUAUUGUGGUAACAUCCAGAAACAGUGUUACUCAUCAAAUUGGUUUGUAGACAUAUAAAGAGACAGAACUUUGUCCUAUAAACUAAAUACCAUUUGUCUGGGUUUUUUUUUUCUUAUCAAAAUUAAUUUGUACAUACAAAAACAGCAAGCAAAAUCAUUAGAAAUAAAAGAGAAAAUAAAAACUGCA